rnacentral:rRNA from 1 species
GCUCACUUUCGGGUGGGAGUGGCAGACGGGUGAGUAACACGUGGGAACGUACCCUUUGGUUCGGGACAACUCUGGGAAACUGGAGCUAAUACCGGAUACGCCCUUUUGGGGAAAGGUUUACUGCCGAAGGAUCGGCCCGCGUCUGAUUAGCUAGUUGGUGGGGUAACGGCCUACCAAGGCGACGAUCAGUAGCUGGUCUGAGAGGAUGAUCAGCCACACUGGGACCGAGACACGGCCCAGACUCCUACGGGAGGCAGCAGUGGGGAAUAUUGGACAAUGGGCGCAAGCCUGAUCCAGCCAUGCCGCGUGAGUGAUGAAGGCCUUAGGGUUGUAAAGCUCUUUUAUCCGGGACGAUAAUGACGGUACCGGAGGAAUAAGCCCCGGCUAACUUCGUGCCAGCAGCCGCGGUAAUACGAAGGGGGCUAGCGUUGCUCGGAAUCACUGGGCGUAAAGGGCGCGUAGGCGGCGUUUUAAGUCGGGGGUGAAAGCCUGUGGCUCAACCACAGAAUGGCCUUCGAUACUGGGACGCUUGAGUCUGGUAGAGGUUGGUGGAACUGCGAGUGUAGAGUUGAAAUUCGUAGAUAUUCGCAAGAACACCGGUGGCGAAGGCGGCCAACUGGACCGGCACUGACGCUGAGGCGCGAAAGCGUGGGGAGCAAACAGGAUUAGAUACCCUGGUAGUCCACGCUGUAAACGAUGAAUGCUAGCUGUUGGGAUGCAUGCAUC